rnacentral:rRNA from 1 species
UGGUUGAUCCUGCCAGUAGUCAUAUGCUUGUCUCAAAGAUUAAGCCAUGCAUGUCUAAGUAUAAACAACUUUAUACUGUGAAACUGCGAAUGGCUCAUUAAAUCAGUUAUAGUUUAUUUGAUAGUACCUUACUACUUGGAUAACCGUAGUAAUUCUAGAGCUAAUACAUGCGAAAAGACCCGACUUUUUGGAAGGGUUGCAUUUAUUAGAUACAAAACCAAUGGCCAGCAAUGGUCACACUUGGUGAUUCAUAAUAACUUUUGCGGAUCGCAUAGCUUUACGCUGGCGACGAAUCAUUCAAAUUUCUGCCCUAUCAACUUUCGAUGGUACGGUAUUGGCCUACCAUGGUUACAACGGGUAACGGGGAAUUAGGGUUCGGUUCCGGAGAGGGGGCCUGAGAAAUGGCCACCACAUCCAAGGAAGGCAGCAGGCGCGCAAAUUACCCAAUCCUGAUACAGGGAGGUAGUGACAAUAAAUAACAAUGCAGGACCUUUACGGGUUUUGUAAUUGGAAUGAGUACAAUUUAAAUCUCUUAACGAGUACCAAUUGGAGGGCAAGUCUGGUGCCAGCAGCCGCGGUAAUUCCAGCUCCAAUAGCGUAUAUUAAAGUUGUUGCAGUUAAAAAGCUCGUAGUUGGAUCUCGGAGUCCUUUUUUCUUCGGAAACGCCGAUGGUCGGAAACCCAGAGCCUCGAAAGGGGUGGAUGGGGCUGUUUACUUGAGGCAGGGCUCACAUCUGAGUUUCUCGAAGGUGGCCUCUGCUCUUCACUGGGUUGGGGGACUUUUUCACAUUCGAGACAUUUACUUUGAAAAAAUUAGAGUGUUCAAAGCAGGCAGUUUCGCUUGAAUACAUUAGCAUGGAAUAAUGGAAUAGGACUUUGGUCUUAUUUUGUUGGUUUCUAGGACUGAAGUAAUGAUUAAUAGGGACAGUUGGGGGCAUUAGUAUUUAAUUGUCAGAGGUGAAAUUCUUGGAUUUAUGAAAGACUAACUUCUGCGAAAGCAUUUGCCAAGGAUGUUUUCAUUAAUCAAGAACGAAAGUUAGGGGAUCGAAGACGAUUAGACACCGUCGUAGUCCUAACCAUAAACUAUGCCGACUCGGGAUCGGUGAGCGUGUUUUUUUACUACCUCAUCAGCACCGUAGGAGAAAUCAAAGUUUUUGGGUUCUGGGGGGUGUAUGGUCGCAAGGCUGAAACUUAAAGGAAUUGACGGAAGGGCACACCAGGUUUGGAGCCUGCGGCUUAAUUUGACACAACACGGGGAAACUCACCAGGUCCAGACAUCGUAAGGAUUGACAGAUUGAGAGCUCUUUCUUGAUUCGAUGGAAAGUGGUGCAUGGCCGUUCUUAGUUGGUGGAUUGCUCUGUCUGGUUUAUUCCGUUAACGAACGAGACCUUAACCUGCUAAAUAGUUAC